AGAGUUUGAUCAUGGCUCAGAGUGAACGCUGGCGGCGUGCUUAACACAUGCAAGUCGAGCGAGAUUUAACAGCGUAUCGUUAGGUCUAGCGGCAGACGGGUGAGUAAUACUUGGACAAUCUACCCUUAAGUGGGGGACAACCUGCCGAAAGGCGGGCUAAUACCCCAUAAGACCACAGAAGUGCAUACUUCAGGGGUCAAAGCUCCGCAAGGGGCGCUAAAGGAGGAGUCCGAGUCCUAUCAUGGUAGUUGGCGGGGUAAUGGCCCACCAAGCCGUUGACGGGUAGCCGGCCUGAAAGGGCAACCGGCCACACUGGCACUGAGACACGGGCCAGACUCCUACGGGAGGCAGCAGUGGGGAAUUUUGGACAAUGGGGGCAACCCUGAUCCAGCGACGCCGCGUGAAGGAUGAAGGUCUUCGGAUUGUAAACUUCUUUUAGAGGGGAUGAAUGCCCUGGUGAAUAGCCAGGGGUGACAGUACCCUUUGAAUAAGCCACGGCUAACUACGUGCCAGCAGCCGCGGUAAUACGUAGGUGGCAAGCGUUACUCGGAAUCACUAGGCGUAAAGCGCAGGUAGGAGGUUUAGUAAGUCUGUUGUGAAAGCUCCCGGCUUAACUGGGAGAGGUCAACGGAAACUGCUAGGCUAGAGUGCGGUAGAGGUAGCUGGAAUUCCCGGUGUAGCGGUGAAAUGCGUAGAUAUCGGGAGGAAUACCUAUGGCGAAAGCAGGCUACUGGACCGUCACUGACUCUGAUCUGCGAAAGCUAGGGGAGCAAACAGGAUUAGAUACCCUAGUAGUCC
rnacentral:rRNA from 1 species